AAUUCUCAAUCAUCUUCUCUUUCUUGGGGAUCAAGUUGGCUAGUCUUUCGACGUGCACGGCUUUGGACGUGAUAAUGAUCGUCAUGGCUGGAGCGUCUUCUAGUUCAUCAGAUAGCUUCUAAUCUCGAGAGGAAGAGAGCGAUCAAGCUUUCAAUGGCUACUAGGGCAGCAGUCUGAAAUGACAAGGCUGGCCGAACGCAGAAAGAGGGCAAGAUCUAUCUCUCGACUUCAGAUAUCAGAG
rnacentral:misc_RNA from 1 species